rnacentral:misc_RNA from 1 species
GAUGAAGAACGUAGCGAAAUGCGAUACGUAAUGUGAAUUGCAGAAUUCAGUGAAUCAUCGAAUCUUUGAACGCACAUUGCGCCCGCUAGUAUUCUGGCGGGCAUGCCUGUCCGAGCGUCAUUUCAACCCAUCAAGCUUAGCGCUUGUGUUGGAGCCCUGCGGCCGCCGCAGCCUCCUAAAAUCAGUGGCGGGCUCGCUAUCACGCUGAGUGCAGUAGUAUUUUUCUCACUCCUGUGGUGUAGCGGGUAACCAGCCGUAAACCCCCCCAUCUAUAAAGGUUGACCUCGGAUCAGGUAGGAAUACCCGCUGAACUUAAGCAUAUCAAUAAGCGGAGGA